rnacentral:rRNA from 1 species
GGUCCCCCCGGUGGGCGGGUAAAACCGCCGGCCGGGUCGACCGAAGGAUAGAUACGGGGGACCGCAAGCGACGGGCAGCCACGAUUUUGGUGGGAGGACCUCGCGUCCGCAUCAUCGAUCGUGAGCCCAACAAAGCCUGCCGGUAUUCCCC